rnacentral:rRNA from 1 species
UACGAAGGGGGCUAGCGUUGCUCGGAAUUACUGGGCGUAAAGCGCACGUAGGCGGAUCUUUAAGUCAGGGGUGAAAUCCUGGAGCUCAACUCCAGAACUGCCUUUGAUACUGGCUGUCUUGAGUUCGGGAGAGGUGAGUGGAAUGCCGAGUGUAGAGGUGAAAUUCGUAGAUAUUCGGCGGAACACCAGUGGCGAAGGCGACUCACUGGCCCGAUACUGACGCUGAGGCGCGAAAGCGUGGGGAGCAAACAGG